GUCACUCAGCCUACUCAACCACUCAGCCACUCAGCCUACUCAGCCACCCAGCCUACUCAGCCCUGCAGCCCCACGAGACUGCGAAAUGAUAGAGUGACGUGGUGAGCAGCGUCCAUGUUGGCGGCGUCACGUGAUGUCACCUCCCACAGGCUGCUGCUGUCGGCAGGAAAGACUGAAAAAUGUUCUUAGUUACUGAACUUGUAUGUAAUUGUGUGCUUGUCACAUUGAGUAUCGUGUAACAUGAUAUCAAUGAAGGAAUCAGUGUUCUAUAUACCAAUGUUGUUAUGCUAGUCCACACUAGUCCGACAGGUGUGUAAAUAAUGUAAGUGACAGGUGUGUAAAUAAUGUAAGUGACAGGUGUGUAAAUAAUGUAAGUGACAGGUGUGUAAAUAAUGUAAGUGACAGGUGUGUAAAUAAUGUAAGUGACAGGUGUGUAAAUAAUGUAAGUGACAAAGUGCUUUCGCAGACAGUUCUGAACUAUUUCGUGUCGCGUAAGUAGAGUGAUGGGGCACACACAUUUCCUUGUAGAGGCAUCUAACUACCAAUCAGUCUAGAAGUACCAGUCGACAGUAUCUGAAACACUACACUGUUGUAAUGUGACAUUAUUUGUAAAAAAAAAAAUUUGUUUUUGAGAGUGAUUCCUGUCGAGUUGCUACAGCCUUGUCUAGUCUUCCGACAGAAGACCUGCUUGUCUUCCCGUCUUUCCGGUUACCGCGACCGAGUGUUUCUCCAUAACUGAAAAUGUUUAUAUGUAUAUAGAUAAUAUAUUUUAAUCGUUUAAGGUCAGAAUGUAUAUAUUUGCUUGCAUUUUUCAAUAAAUUGAUUGAGAUUUA